GGAAUGCGCAGGAGAAGGAAGUGGGGAUAAUGACGGAGUGUCACCGUGUGCGGGCCCUCCGCGGGGCUCGGCGGCUCCGAGGGCACGGAGUGCAAAUAGAGUGGGUUCGGGAGCCGUUCUGAAAAGAAAGGCUGCCUUUGAGAGCCGCUGUCGGGAGCCGCGAAACUUUUAUCCCCGCGGAUGAAGUGCCGGGUUCGUCAGAGCUGUGUACUCACGGAGGGGUAAUGAAAGAGCAACGCUUUUAGCGUGGUGGAUGGAUGAAAAUAGGCCGCUGUGAGACUGAAAAUACGAUGAAGGUGGCACACCGCAGUGCUAAUUAAGUGUCUUAAUUGGGAAAAUAAUAACGCCCUCUCGGAUGUGCAUUGGGUCUGCUCAUUUCUCAGCUGUAUGAGUACACACAGGUGCAAGGAAAGUCAACAUUAUGUAAGAUGCCAAAAACCUUUGCUGGAACGUCGCUCCCUGCUGACAAGAUGAUCCCACACCGGGGUGUGGGCAUUCCGGAGAAUUAAACCUGUGUGUGAAAACACAUCUCAUAGAAACCAUGAACGCAUGCCAAGCCAACCAGAUUCUGGUCUCCCUUUGGCAAGCGCUUCAGAAACAGCUGGUAAUUGACCAUAUGCCGUGCUGGCACCGCUGUGAGCUUAUUUCCCACUUGUCCUCCUGGUCAAUCAGAGCUGCUCCAUGUGCUGCAGGACAGCUGGUCCCUUGGCAUGUGAAGCAGCUAAUGAACUUUUCCUCUGAAAAACCGUGGGGAUAGACAAUGCUGACUCCAAUCAGUGUUGUUUUACUUGCUGAACUGAUAUCAAAGGUGAAGGUUCUCUAAAGGAGCAUUGUGUGACAAUCAAACACACAGCAUGAACAACUGGGUGGGUGUGCACUGUAGGUAACUACGCUUGUUUGGAAAAUCAAAACCAAAUGAUCUGUGCUGAAAAGAAUGCUGAACAGACGCUGAGUGACUGAUAGAUCUGUGCCUUUAGCUGUCAGCCUCAGCAAGUACCACUGUUUCCCUUUUUCAUUCUGACCCCUGCUGGAUAGGGUCUCCAAUGAAUUUCUUAGAAAUUUAUAAAUUUCACCAUGUAAGAUUUUCUCCUAUUCAGGUUCGUGUUAAAGAAGGAAUUGCACAGCAGUUCAUCAGUACAGUAUGCGGGGCUUAUAAGCAUUUACUCUCAGACAUCCGUCAUACUUCCCUGCAAUUGGUCAGUUUGUAAUAUUCCUUAAAAUCUCCUGCUAGGUGCAAUAAAAAGCUGAAUUUCCUUGAGUAGGGCUUCUAUAUCACUUAACUUUGUAAUUCCUGAGAACCAUUUAGUUGACAGUCCCCUAUUGUUCACACUUCGUUAACAGUUCAUGUAAAAUACUUGAUAGAAACAAUCUGCCCAUUCAGCAUUUUAGAAAUGGAGAUGGAGCAACAUCCACGAGGGAGCAAAUGUAGUUUAAAAACAACAACAAAAAAUCAACUAAGUGUGCAGGAUCUAAAUCCAAACAUAUACAUACAUUUAUUGAUAAUUUUAAAAUCCAGAAAAUGGACCAUCAAAAGAAAUGCAAUGCAAG
rnacentral:lncRNA from 7 species